rnacentral:rRNA from 1 species
GAUGAACGCUGGCGGCGUGCCUAAUACAUGCAAGUCGAGCGAAUGGAUUAAGAGCUUGCUCUUAUGAAGUUAGCGGCGGACGGGUGAGUAACACGUGGGUAACCUGCCCAUAAGACUGGGAUAACUCCGGGAAACCGGGGCUAAUACCGGAUAACAUUUUGAACCGCAUGGUUCGAAAUUGAAAGGCGGCUUCGGCUGUCACUUAUGGAUGGACCCGCGUCGCAUUAGCUAGUUGGUGAGGUAACGGCUCACCAAGGCAACGAUGCGUAGCCAACCUGAGAGGGUGAUCGGCCACACUGGGACUGAGACACGGCCCAGACUCCUACGGGAGGCGGCAGUAGGGAAUCUUCCGCAAUGGACGAAAGUCUGACGGAGCAACGCCGCGUGAGUGAUGAAGGCUUUCGGGUCGUAAAACUCUGUUGUUAGGGAAGAACAAGUGCUAGUUGAAUAAGCUGGCACCUUGACGGUACCUAACCAGAAAGCCACGGCUAACUACGUGCCAGCCGCCGCUGUAA